rnacentral:rRNA from 1 species
GACGUAGGGCGCGAGCGUUGUCCGGAUUUAUUGGGCGUAAAGAGCUCGUAGGCGGCUUGUCGCGUCAACUGUGAAAACCCGUGGCUCAACCAUGUGGUCUGCAGUCGAUACGGGCAGGCUAGAAUUCGGUAGGGGAGACUGGAAUUCCUGGUGUAGCGGUGAAAUGCGCAGAUAUCGGGAAGAACACCGAUGGCGAAAGCACUCUGCUGGGCCGAAACUGACACUGAGAGACGAAAGCUAGGGGAGCGAAUGGG